rnacentral:lncRNA from 1 species
CAGAAAGCAGGCACUAAAGGGAGUUUUCCUCAAGAAGACUUUAGAAGCAUUACUGCUAUGGUUGACAUAAUGCCUCGAAGACAAGUUCCUCUCUUGCUCUGCAGCUACUAAUUUCCAACAAAGCACCAGACUAUCUCAGCACAGACGCUUGCUUGCACUGCUGGCUAUUGCCCGCACCACAAAAUAACAUUGCUUACAAUCAGACAGAGAUUGGGUUGUGGCUGGCUGCGUGCUGGGAGGAAGGAGUUACGCUAAUUUGCUCAGUGCCAUCCUAUGCAAACCCAGCUGCUAUCACCCCUGCCCGCUGCCUUCUCCCAGGGGACACCGGUUGCAAUUCCUUACAACAACCAGAGCUGGGUGCCUGUACUUGGAAGAAGAGAUGUGGACCCUAUGGCAACAGAAUCCCUAUAAUGAAGCCACAAAGAAGGUCACUGUGACCCCAGAGCGCUUCAGAGGAGAUCCAGCCCUUGGAAGCACGAGGGGCCGUGUUUGUGAAGGACUGAUUUGGCAACAGCCAGACAACACCUCCGCACCCCCAGCCUUACAGCCCUACUCUGCAGUGUCAGGGACUGAAGUCCCAGCUCCUUAAUCCCACCAGCACCAACACAAGGCGAAGACAUGUUAAAACCUCAGCAACAGGCUUGCCACAUGAAUUACAGAGUAAUGCUGGAAAUGCAUCCCUUCUUUACCCUACGCAGAA